CGCUAUCACUCCUACGGGAGGCAGCAGUGGGGAAUAUUGCACAAUGGGGGAAACCCUGAUGCAGCCAUGCCGCGUGUGUGAAGAAGGCCUUCGGGUUGUAAAGCACUUUCAGUAGGGAGGAAGGUAGUGUAGUUAACACCUGCAUUAUUUGACGUUACCUACAGAAGAAGCACCGGCUAACUCCGUGCCAGCAGCCGCGGUAAUACGGAGGGUGCGAGCGUUAAUCGGAAUUACUGGGCGUAAAGCGCAUGCAGGCGGCCUGUUAAGUCAGAUGUGAAAGCCCGGGGCUUAACCUCGGAAUUGCAUUUGAAACUGGAAGGCUAGAGUCUUGUAGAGGGGGUAGAAUUUCAGGUGUAGCGGUGAAAUGCGUAGAGAUCUGAAGGAAUACCAGUGGCGAAGGCGGCCCCCUGGACAAAGACUGACGCUCAGAUGCGAAAGCGUGGGGAGCAAACAGGAUUAGAUACCCUGGUAG
rnacentral:rRNA from 1 species